CCUACGGGAGGCAGCAGUGAGGAAUAUUGGUCAAUGGGCGCGAGCCUGAACCAGCCAAGUCGCGUGAGGGAAGACGGUCCUAUGGAUUGUAAACCUCUUUUGUCGGGGAGCAACGGGCGCCACGUGUGGCGCCACUGAGAGUACCCGGAGAAAAAGCAUCGGCUAACUCCGUGCCAGCAGCCGCGGUAAUACGGAGGACGCGAGGUUUAUCCGGAUUUUUUGGGUUUAAGGGGUGCGUGGGCGGAUCGUUAAGUCAGUGGUCAAAUUGAGGGGCUCAACCCCUUCCCGCCAUUGAAACUGGCGCUCUUGAGUGGAAGAGAAGUAUGCGGAAUGCGUGGUGUAGCGGUGAAAUGCAUAGAUAUCACGCAGAACCCCGAUUGCGAAGGCAGCAUGCCGGCUUCCGACUGACGCUGAAGCACGAAAGCGUGGGGAUCGAACAGGAUUAGAUACCCCUGUAGUC
rnacentral:rRNA from 1 species